CCUACGGGUGGCAGCAGUGGGGAAUAUUGCGCAAUGGGCGAAAGCCUGACGCAGCGACGCCGCGUGAGGGAUGAAGGUCUUCGGAUCGUAAACCUCUGUCAGCAGGGAAGAACGGUCACUGUGCUAAUCAGCAGUGAAUUGACGGUACCUGCAAGGGAAGCACCGUCUAACUCCGUGCGAGCAGCCGCGGUAAUACGGAGGGGGCGAGCGUUAAUCGGAAUUAUUGGGCGUAAAGCGCUCGUAGGCGGUAUGUCAAGUCAAGGGUGAAAUCCCCGCGCUCAACGUGGGAACUGCGUUUGAAACUGGCAAGCUUGAGUGGGCGGGAGGAUAGUGGAAUUCCUGGUGUAGGGGUGAAAUGCGUAGAUAUCGCGAGGAACAGCAGUGGCGAAGGCGACUAGCUGGAACAUAACUGACGCUGAGGAACGAAAGCGUGGGUAGCGAACAGGAUUAGAUACCCGAGUAGUC
rnacentral:rRNA from 1 species